rnacentral:ncRNA from 1 species
CAAAAUUCGUUGAUGAGAACUAGUACGCUACAAGCUGUUCCACAGAGAGCCGGUGUUUUGCUGAGAACCGGUGCUCAGGGUGUAGCCGAAUAUCCUCUCUGAGAAGCCAGGCUGAACAGUAAGUAAGCCUGGACGGUAGUCUACCGUUAAAAAGAACGCGUAUGAUUGUACGUUGCUGAGUGCUAUUGAUGAACGGUCAAUAGAAUCCAGGGUGGUACCGCGGGUUAGACCCGUCCCUUGU